UAAGGGUGAAAAGGUGGUGUAAGAGACCACCAGGUCCAGCUGUAAGGCAGGAUGCUUGUAAACCCCAUCCGGUGCAAGAUCAAGUAUACCCCAAGAUGUAGUCCGCAUCAUUAUUUAGGGGAGGGUUGAUCGCGUGAUCCAAUCAGAAAUGGUUGGACCAGAUGAAUGACUGUCGAUAACAGAACUCGGCUUAUAGAUCGGCUCUAAUU
rnacentral:RNase_P_RNA from 1 species